GUGAGGAAUUUUCCGCAAUGGGCGAAAGCCUGGCGGAGCAAUGCCGCGUGAAGGAUGAAGGCCUAUGGGUUGUAAACUUCUUUUCUCAGAAAAGAAUUAUGACGGUAUCUGAGGAAUAAGCAUCGGCUAACUCUGUGCCAGCAGCCGCGGUAAGACAGAGGAUGCAAGCGUUAUCCGGAAUGAUUGGGCGUAAAGCGUCUGUAGGUUGUUUAAAAAGUAUUCUGUCAAAGAUUAGGGCUUAACCCUAGAUAGGCAGAAUAAACUUUUAAGCUAGAGUUUGGUAGAGGCAGAGGGAAUUCCCGGUGGAGCGGUGAAAUGCGUAGAUAUCGGGAGGAACACCAAAGGCGAAGGCACUCUGCUGGGCCAAUACUAACACUGAGAGACGAAAGCGAGGGGAGCAAAUGGGAUUAGAAACCCCGGUAGUCC
rnacentral:rRNA from 1 species